UGAGUUCCGCAAGUUUAGGCGCCGAAAGGAAAUGCCGCCAUUCGUGGCGAGACAAGACGGAAGCUGGGCAACAAUGGCGGCAGCUGAAAGCAAUGUCGAACUGAAACGAAAAGCCGAUGAAAUACAGGGUGAAGAUGGAGAUGAGGAGGAGUGGGUCGGGCCCAUGCCGAACGAGGCUACUAAGGUCAAGAAAAGGAAAGUGCUGGAAUACGAACGCGUCUAUUUGGACAACCUCCCUUCAGCUACUAUGUAUGAGAGGAGCUACAUGCACAGAGAUGUUAUCACACACAUAGUUUGUUCCAAGACAGACUUCAUCAUCACGGCCAGCCAGGAUGGCCAUGUCAAGUUUUGGAAGAAGAACGAAGGCGAUGGAAUUGAGUUUGUCAAACACUUCAGAAGCCACCUUGGCAUAAUCGAGAGCAUCGCCGUCAGUGCUGAAGGAGCCCUUUUCUGUUCUGUUGGCGACGAUAAGGCCAUGAAAGUAUUUGAUGUGGUCAACUUUGACAUGAUCAACAUGCUGAAGUUGGGCUUCCACCCCGGGCAGAGCGAGUGGAUCUACAAUCCCGGGGAUGCCAUUUCUACGGUUGCCUGCUCGGAAAAAUCCACAGGAAAGAUCUGUGUCUACGACGGACGGGGGAGUAACGAGCCCCUCCACGUCUUCGACAAGAUGCACUCCUCGCCGCUGUCCCAGAUCCGCCUUAAUCCCAAAUUCAGGGUCAUCGUCUCUGCGGACAAAGCGGGAAUGCUGGAAUACUGGACCGGUCUUCCCAAUGAAUUCAAGUUUCCUAAAUAUGUGCAGUGGGAGUACAAGACAGACACAGAUUUGUAUGAGUUUGCCAAACACAAAACCUACCCCACCAGUCUGGUGUUCUCACCCGACGGGAAGAAGAUGGCCACCGUGGCGUCUGACCGAAAGGUCCGAAUGUUCCGCUUCCUCACGGGAAAACUGAUGAGAGUUUUUGAUGAAUCCUUAACGAUGUUCACAGAGCUCCAGCAGAUGAGGCAGCAGCUGCCUGACAUGGAGUUCGGUAGGCGCAUGGCGGUGGAGCGAGAACUGGAGAAGAUGGACGGGAUCCGUCUGACCAACGUCAUCUUUGACGAGACGGGACACUUUGUCCUGUACGGCACCAUGCUGGGCAUCAAGGUCAUCAAUGUUGAAACCAACAGAUGUGUACGGAUCCUCGGGAAGCUGGAGAACAUCCGCGUGGUCCAGCUGAGUCUCUUCCAGGGCGUGGCAAAGGCCAUGCAGGUGGCGCCCACCGUGGAGAUGAAGGCGUCGGAUAAUCCCGCUUUGCAGAACGUGGAGCCGGACCCCACCGUGUUCUGCACCGCAUUUAAGAAGAACCGCUUCUACAUGUUCUCAAAGAGAGAACCCGAGGACACAAAGAGUGCCGACUCGGACCGAGACAUCUUCAACGAAAAGCCCUCCAAGGAGGAGGUGAUGGCCGCCACGCAGGCUGAGGGCCCCAAGAGAGUGUCGGACAGCGCCAUCAUCCACAGCACCAUGGGAGACAUCCACAUCAAGCUGUUCCCCGUGGAGUGCCCAAAAACGGUGGAGAACUUCUGUGUUCACAGCAGGAAUGGCUACUACAACGGACACAUCUUCCACAGAGUCAUCAAGGGCUUCAUGAUCCAGACCGGAGACCCCACAGGCACCGGCAUGGGCGGCGAGAGCAUCUGGGGGGGCGAGUUUGAGGACGAGUUCCACGCCACCCUGAGGCACGAUCGGCCCUACACGCUCAGCAUGGCCAACGCAGGCCCCGCCUCCAAUGGAUCGCAGUUUUUCAUCACCGUCGUGCCCACGCCUUGGCUCGACAAUAAGCACACGGUGUUUGGGAGGUGCACCAAAGGGAUGGAGGCCGUCCAGAGGAUCUCCAAUGUCAAAGUUCACCCCAAAACGGACAAACCGUACGAGGACAUCAGCAUCAUCAACAUCACCAUCAAGUGAUAUCCUGCAUCCACACCCUUUCUUUGUAGACAUCCAAAAACUACUAAACCAUCAGGCAGACAAAUCUGGUGAAUGCCUUUAUUUUCCAUCAUCAAUCAUUUACAAAAGUCAUCAGGUCAAAGGUUUUCAUCCAAGCGCAUUGUGCUUCGACAUUGAAGUAUUUUUUUUCUUUUUUUUGCGAUCUAUAUACAAUGUGUGUGUGUGUAGCAAACAUGACAAUGAUUCAACUCAAACAAUGCAUCUUGGCUAAUGAGACAAAGUGUCAUUUCACAUUACGUCACGGAAGGCUGCGGCUUGAUUUGAAAGGUUAUCCCAUUUUGUAGUGACAUUAAUACUGGGGUGGGGGUCCACUUAGAGACAGCAGAGUUCCACUGGAUGAUGGCCAGGCAGCAAACACGUGCACUUGACCCGUUUCACGUGCAACAAAGAACAAAAAAAGGGUGAGCUGGCGUGUAAAAUUCCCUCAGCCUCAUAAAUAUAUACAAUAUGAGUAAUAACAAACAUUGUUCUGUAACAGAGCACAUCGAGACCAAGCAUGCUAUGCUAACAUCCCUGCAAAUGUACCAAUGAAGACGUGCACUACGUGUGGGUGGUGGUAUAGAAAUACACGUUAUGAUAACAUGACUGUCCCCUAUGGAGUUCUUUGGGCCAAAAUGAAAACUAUUCAAUCAAAUGAAUGAAGGUAACAAAUCUAUUAAAUUGUCAUUCAUUCAUUAAAUUGCAAUAGAAAUAAUUAUAUUCAGCCUACCGGUAUUCUACAUUUUUAUUUCCAAAAUGUAUGCAUUGAUUGGUUUAUUCAUUAUUUAUUAUUCACCUUGAUGGCUGACUGAUAUUUAUUCAUUUAAAUGGAAUUACGCAAGUAAAAUCAUAAAUGACUUAGAAAUAACUUAUUACUAUUUUUCAAUCUACAUUUGAGUUGACAAUUUAACGAAUUACUCAUUUUGGCACAAAAAAACUCCUCCCCUGUCCCACGUGGUGGUUAUGAUGAGUACAUGGUGAAGCUUCUUGGGGGAACAAAGCGUCAAUGACUUACUGCCCCCCCCCCAAUCGGUAGUACGUGUUGUGGCUUCUUCCAAGCAUACCUUCACGUGUGGGAGCUGUUCACAGAUGAGCCCUCAAUCUUUGCAGAGACAUCAAACCAGCGAUGUUGCAUAUGGCGGGUGGGGGGUUCAGACUUGUGGACAUUUUAGGCAACGUCAAGUACGCCGGCAGCCACCAGCUGCCUGGAGAGCCAAUCCAGCCCCUCGUGGAGGCCCAUCCCGCUGCGGGCGUCGCAGCCCUGGAUGUGCCAGCUCCUCCCGCAGCACAGCUUAUGCAGGCUCAGCAGCUCCGUCAUCUCCUCCACAGACACCACGCCAGGCACGUCCUGCCAAAGUCACAACCACAAGUCCUGACCGAGGCGCUCAACUCCCCAGUCUGCCUAGCGACAGCCUCCCUGGUACCUGCUUGUUGGCGAAGAUAAGGAGCAGGGCGUCUCUGAGCUCCUUCUCUGUCAGCAGCUUGGCCAGCUCGCUGUGCGCCUCCAUGAGACGGUCCCGGUGGCUGCUGUCAAUCACAAACACCACGGCUGCGCACACAGGAAGAAAGAUCAGGCUUGGCUACACAUCUUAAGAAUAAAGAACACAUUGGCCAGCUACGGGCAUGAGAAUAAGGUUGGCAGCGUUAGCUGGCACAGAUGCUACCUUGCGUGUUGAGAUAGUAGUGUUUCCACAGCGGUCUCAGCUUAUGCUUGCCUCCCACGUCCCAGAUAGUGAACUUCAAGUUCUUAUAUUCCACCGUCUCCACGUUGAAACCUUGUUUAAAAAAAAAAAAACAAUUGACUUUGGAGAAGAGGAUUAGGAGAAAUAAAAAGCAGCAGGUUCUGCGGCGUACCGAUGGUGGGAAUGGGCUGCAUGAACUCAUCCUGCUUCAGCUUAAAGAGGAUAGUGGUUUUUCCGGCGCCAUCCAGCCCAAGGGUCACCACACGGAUCUCCAUCUUGGGGCCAAUGUGGACCCGGUUAUCCUGAGGAGAAAACACAGAGAGAGAGAGGGAGAGAGGGAGUGGAUUGUCGUGGGUUUGCCCAGACGACCUUGCCUACCUUGGUGAAGGUGACCGGGAUGCCGGCGUCCAGCUGGAUGUGGUCUGCCAGCUCUGUGAACUGAUGCUGCUGCUUCUGAAGCGUCUCCAGCAGACAGUUGAUCUCCUGCUUGGCCAGCACCACCCUGCAGUCGUCCUGCCACAGUGGGAAGAGGAUGUUCAAUGAAGCGUGUUUCCACGGCAAUCUGCUAUCCUCCCACCUGCUGGAGCGUCUUCUCACAGUGCAGGCAGGCGGUGGACACCUGAGACAGCAGGAUGGUCAUGUCCUCCUGCUGCUGCCGCAGCCAGAUCAGCCUCUCACGCACGUGCGCAUCCACCACGCUCAGCGCCAUCUCCUCCUGCCGACACAGCGUCUCGUGGAGGUCUGCAAAGUAGGCGCGCACGCAGGAGCGAGCGCUCUCUGCUGUGCCGGGAACCUGAACAGGGAAUAAAGAGCGGGAAAACUAGGAGAUGCAUGAUGGUGGAUGACUGCGAUGCAUCUAGGGCCCUAUGAAAUCCCAAAUUGAAUGAAAUGCAAAACUCCUUACAUUUAUUGAUGCUAGACAUCAUUGGCCAAUGUAGCCAUGUAGUAACUGAGGAAUGGAUGAAGCCCGGCUAACGUUUGUAAUGGGAUGUCAGCCUCUGCACACACACUGCUACUACAUCUUCAACAACCUGUAAUGCCCGUCAUCAAGGAAGAUGUAGUCACCCAUGCAAUUCUACCUGCGUGUUAAUGGAAGCUACUUAAUGACACCCUUGUUUUCUUUACACAAUUAGACCACAUGUGGCAUACAGCGCUCCUAUUUUGAAGGCCGGAAGUGUGCUGAGUGUCUGUUGACGGUUAAGACAAGCUGUGUGCCUCUCGUCUCUUUCCCACUCAGACCUUGCGCGACGUCAGUGGGCAUCGUAAAACGCUCGUUUGCAUUGAACACCGUGUCAGCUCUCACACACACUAGAAUGCACUGCUAAACUAAGCUAACCCUGCUAGCAUCCCUUCACGCUCCGUAAGAGUAGUUUUCUGCCAAAGUUUGCUGCUGUUUCAGGUCGCCAUUUGGACAUAUUUAGUUUGGGAGGGGGCGGGUUAGUGUUUGUGAUGAAAUCCCGCCACGACUGAGCAGUCCGCCAGGGAAAUACGACUGUUCAUUGUCCUCACGAUGACAUCAUUUCAUUCACAUGAUGUCCAUUUCUGUGAGAUUGUGCCUUUAACAGUAAAUUUCGUGUUUAUUGGCCAAUUCCAGGAUUCUGCUAACAGAGACAUGCUAGGAGUCUAAUGGACAUCUUCCAGUGCAGUGCCUCUCAACUUCCUGGAGUACUCGGACACUUCCUCCGUGAAGGUGCGGAUGCAGUGCGCCAUGUCCAGAAUGGACGCCCGGAUCUGAUUGGCCUCCGUCUCCAGGACGGCGUGCUGAGAGCAAAGAAAAACACAUGAGCGGCCCCGGCUGACACGCCUCCUCCAGGCACACAAACUCGAUGGCGUGGACCUGGUGCUGGGGGCACAGCGUCUUCUCGUGGGGCUUGUCGGCCAGCGGCACGCGGCGGUGCUUGGCCAGCGUGCGGGUGGAGUGGGUGAGCUGCGAGCACUCGGCGCACAGAGCAUCCUCGGCCGUGCCCGGCUGGUUGCUGGUGCCAUUCUGCAGUCGCUCCAAAAGUUCAAGCAGGGCAAAGUUCUUCUUUAGACCCCACACUCCAGAGUCCCCUGGACACACAGAAAAAACUCUCUGUUAGCACCAAAAUCUAUCAUCUCUCUCCUUUGUUUACUUUAGCCAGAAGUGGAGCUCAGAUGUGUGCUUUUCAACACGUCAAGAAGAAAAAACACGAGCUAGAUGAGCCCGCCCCCGUAUGCGCCCACCACUUUACCGAGGACUGCUUGGUAAAAGAAAAACGGGGGGGAAGCAAGCAGGCUUCACUACACGUCUUAAAGUACAGACGUGGGAGAUGGAAGCAAAUACGCUAACCUGACAUGAUGUUGCUGUUAACAUGUGACUAAUGUUAGCACUUUAGCAUCACAUAGCUAUGCUAGUGUUGCUAACCUGUCCCACUCCUUAAAGGAAAAGUGCACUUUCUGGGGGGGAAUUUUGCCCAUCAUCCACAAUCCUUAUGUGGGACAUGGACACCAGUGAUGCUCCCAUCAGGGCUUUAUGAUUAGUGAUCACACGGAUUAAGUGUAAUUUAUCAAUGGAGUUACGAUGAGUGGUAUUAAUCAGGGCUGCCUUGAGAUAAAUCCAAGGGAUCCUGGUCAAUAGGUCAUUAUUUAAAACUCAACUUUUGGGUGGAUAGUUUUUAUUUGUGUACAAACAAUGUAAUGUGAUGCAUGCUUUGGAGUAACACCAGUUGUAAGGAUAAGGGACAAGGGAGUAAGGGAGUGAUCAAACACUCUGGCAUAGAUUGGUGUAGUCUGUGUCAAACUCAGUAUGAGAUGCGUCAUUUUGUUGGCAACGCUACGUGACGCAGCAGACAUGUUGGAUUUGCCACCACACGCCCAAGGCGCUUAUUACUGAUCACGUGUUUUUUUUUUACGGAAAUUGGCGAUAUUGAUUGGUGGCUGAUCCACCGGAGCAUCCCUAAUGAACACGCGUCUCUUUUCUGUGUCAGGACACUACUGUUGAAAAAUACUGUAGUACUUCCGUACUAUAUUGUAGUACAGGUUGCUUAACAUUAAAAUGGUGCAUUAUUUUGAAGGACAGCACAGCAUCUCAAGUGGAGGGGGAGUGGAAGGGAAAGCUCACCCAGCUCAGUGACCUGCCUGUCGAAGGGACAGCGGACCGCUCGGCCGUGGAGGGGCAGCCGGGUCAGGCAGUCGUGGCACACGGUGUGCCCGCACAGCAGGAGACGGGGGACCUUGUCGCCUUGGAGGGAGAAGACGUCCUCGCAGACGCCACACUCCAGCACCUGAGUGAACACACAAGGUCAACCACACUGCACCGUCCCAUCAAGGAUGCAGGAUGCCACAUCGCUUGCUAAGACGCCAACUAGCAUUGUUAGCAUGUAAGCAUACACAGUACAUCUCACUGUGAUUCACUAUUAACACGCAUUUAAUCAUUCAUUGCAAAUGGAAGCGAGAUGAUCUCCAUUAUAGCCUCAAUAAGCAGCCACGAAAGCAAAACAACAACAACAAAAUCCAGCCAACGCCAUCCUUGUUGCGUGAUUGGGUUUCUUUCAGUUCCAAUUUGAAAAACCUUCCGACCUUGACUGUGCCUCCAUUCGCACCCCUGCCGUGCCGGACGCAGGGUUCCAUGGUGGUCACGGCGCCCUGCUUGUUUAUUCCUGCAGCAGAGGCGGCCAUUGUCCGACAGCUGCGCGGAGCCGACUGAGCAUGCGCGAAAGGAGCAGCUCCAUACUCCCAUGACACGCUUCCGGUUUUGCCUUUUUAGCGACACAAAUAAUAACAAUAAUAAUUCUUUCUGUGCACACAGUUUUUAUUUUAGAUUUCAGACGGAAACUCCAAGGUUUAAGCAUAGUUUGUGUAUGUAUAUUUCUAAUAUAUACUGUGUGUAUAUAUAUAUAUAUAUACACACACUAUACUAUACAAGGCUAGUCAACACUAGGUCCUUAGAAACAGCAUCCAGAGGAUUUUUAACUUGUGUAAACAUGCUGCUUGUCUUUUAAUGUGUUCAUUGAUUUAUAACCAUAUCAUGCAUUUGUUGGGGUCAAAUGUGAAUUGACGUUCAAAUUCAGCACGCUGCUGACACCAAGUGGACACUGCUGAACUGCAGGAUUUAAAGGACGCAUGGUUGUCUUGACCUUCCAACAUUUCAAAGUCUACAUGCUGCAUUAUUAAGAUGACAACUAAAAGACAAUAAAAGGUGAAAAUACACUAAUAACUCAACUUUUAUUUAACCUGUUUCUGUUUUGCUGAUGCUAUCAUUUAUCAUUAACCAGAAAGAAAACAGUGAAUGUCUGGUUGUUAUCAUGCGUGCAAACCUGUGAGGGUCAAAGGUCAGCUUGUUGCAAAAGACCAGCAGAUGUCAGGUGACCUUUGAAGACCCUCAGUGUUUGUCACGGAUGAGCAGAAACUUGUCAAAGAUGUGCCAAACAUAUUUGUUAAACCAAUGAAAACAUGCACAUGCAAAUGUCACAUGACAUUUCUAUUUCAAUUGAACAGUACGAACUAGCCAAGCUAACAUCUAAGAGAAGCCGUUCAUGAACAUCUAGUAACAACACGAAGAGCAUGAAGCUGGUUGUUUUUGUGGGCAAAAAAAAAAGAAGUGAUUCCAGCUCACAAAAGCUUUGUGUUUGCUGAGUGUAUUCAAAUACUGAGGUCAGCAGUCCUUUUUGUUACAUUUGAAAAACAAGACUUGAACGAAGGCUAGUUUGUGAAAGUCCAGAUGUUAAG